CCGUAUAACACUAUUUUCCGCAUGGAAGAAAGUUGAAAGGCGCUUUUGCGUCACUGAUGGAUGGACCCGCGGUGCAUUAGCUAGUUGGUGAGGUAACGGCUCACCAAGGCAACGAUGCAUAGCCGACCUGAGAGGGUGAUCGGCCACACUGGGACUGAGACACGGCCCAGACUCCUACGGGAGGCAGCAGUAGGGAAUCUUCGGCAAUGGACGAAAGUCUGACCGAGCAACGCCGCGUGAGUGAAGAAGGUUUUCGGAUCGUAAAACUCUGUUGUUAGAGAAGAACAAGGAUGAGAGUAAAACGUUCAUCCCUUGACGGUAUCUAACCAGAAAGCCACGGCUAACUACGUGCCAGCAGCCGCGGUAAUACGUAGGUGGCAAGCGUUGUCCGGAUUUAUUGGGCGUAAAGCGAGCGCAGGCGGUUUCUUAAGUCUGAUGUGAAAGCCCCCGGCUCAACCGGGGAGGGUCAUUGGAAACUGGGAGACUUGAGUGCAGAAGAGGAGAGUGGAAUUCCAUGUGUAGCGGUGAAAUGCGUAGAUAUAUGGAGGAACACCAGUGGCGAAGGCGGCUCUCUGGUCUGUAACUGACGCUGAGGCUCGAAAGCGUGGGGAGCGAACAGGAUUAGAUACCCUGGUAGUCCACGCCGUAAACGAUGAGUGCUAAGUGUUGGAGGGUUUCCGCCCUUCAGUGCUGCAGCAAACGCAUUAAGCACUCCGCCUGGGGAGUACGACCGCAAGGUUGAAACUCAAAGGAAUUGACGGGGGGCCCGCACAAGCGGUGGAGCAUGUGGUUUAAUUCGAAGCAACGCGAAGAACCUUACCAGGUCUUGACAUCCUUUGACCACUCUAGAGAUAGAGCUUCCCCUUCGGGGGGCAAAGUGACAGGUGGUGCAUGGUUGUCGUCAGCUCGUGUCGUGAGAUGUUGGGUUAAGUCCCGCAACGAGCGCAACCCUUAUUGUUAGUUGCCAUCAUUUAGUUGGGCACUCUAGCGAGACUGCCGGUGACAAACCGGAGGAAGGUGGGGAUGACGUCAAAUCAUCAUGCCCCUUAUGACCUGGGCUACACACGUGCUACAAUGGGAAGUACAACGAGUUGCGAAGUCGCGAGGCUAAGCUAAUCUCUUAAAGCUUCUCUCAGUUCGGAUUGUAGGCUGCAACUCGCCUACAUGAAGCCGGAAUCGCUAGUAAUCGCGGAUCAGCACGCCGCGGU
rnacentral:rRNA from 1 species